UACGAAGGGGGCGAGCGUUGUUCGGAGUUACUGGGCGUAAAGGGCGCGUAGGCGGCGCUCCAAGUUAGGCGUGAAAGCCCCGGGCUCAACCGGGAAUUGCGCUUAAGACUGGAGUGCUCGAGUGCGGAAGAGGUGAGUGGAAUUCCCAGUGUAGAGGUGAAAUUCGUAGAUAUUGGGAAGAACACCAGUGGCGAAGGCGGCUCACUGGUCCGCAACUGACGCUGAGGCGCGAAAGCGUGGGGAGCAAACAGG
rnacentral:rRNA from 1 species